UUCUCUGUUCAUUCCCUGAGGAGGCAUGGACUGGCCUUGGUAAUGUCUUGGGCAUGGCCAAUCUUGUAGUUUGGGAUGAGAGCCAUAAGCAUCGACCACUGACUUGUGUGUGACCUUCCAGUGAGGGCCUGACAGGUCUUGAACAUUCUUAGGAUGGGGGUGAGGCCAUUAAUGUUGCGUACGAUUGGCUCAGUCUAGGACCUGGGAGUUAUGGUGCGUCUCUAUAAUGAUUCUUCUAGGGUGGUAUUUACUUUUCUGAGAAGCAGGAAAGGUUCUUUACUUUUUAAGAUUCAUACAACUAAAUUGGGCACACCCAGGUAAUCCAGAACACUCUCCCCAACUCAGUGUCCUUACAUUUAACCAAAUCAGCAAAAUUCCUUUUGCUAUGUAAGGUACCACACUCACAAGUUCUUCACAAGUACAUCUUUGGGGGAGCCAUUAUUCUGCCUACCUUCUAUGAAUUGAAUCACGCCCUCCAUAAUUCAUAUGUUGAAGCCCUAACCCCUAAUGUGAUGCUAUUUGGAUAUAGGGCCGUUGGGCCAUUAGAAGGUUGUGAGAGGGGGUCCUCAUGAUGGGAUUAAUGGCCUUAUGAGAAGAGACCUGAGAAGUUACUUUCUUUUUCUUUCUACCACCUGAGGAUAUGGCAAGAAGGCAGUGGUCUGCACACCAGGAAGUGGAUUCUCACCGGAUACCAAGGCUGUGGCCACUUUGAUUUUGGACUUCCCAGCCUGCAGAACUGUGAUCAAGGCUACUGAAGGGGUAUUUGAGUUCAUUUAUCUGACUUCUAAGGACAACAGUGUUUACAUUCAGAAGUGGACACCUCAGAAGAAAUUCUUCAUCUAGGAUGAUCAAGUCUCCUGAGGAGAAAUUUCAAUAUACCUACACAUCUGAUGACAAAAAGUACCAUGGUGAAAAAAUAUAUUCAUGAUUCUGUCUACUGAGAAGGCCUGGAAGCAGUGACACCCCAGUAGCAAUGAAGAACCCGUGUCCAGAUACGAUUUUCUAAAUUCCAUUGUUCAACUAAAAACCAAUGGGACAUGGCGAAGAGUAUAAAAAGGAAAAACGGUGCCUUUCCAGUGGAGAAACUUGGCGGACCCCACCCUAACCAAGUGAUCAUUGUUAACACUAUCAGUGGUGUAAUAUCAAGGCUAGGUACUUGUGAUACAGUGCAAUGAGAGUAAGUAUUCCUCUUUGUGCUAUUCUUGAAAAUCGACAGCCCCAGUCUGAUCAUGAAAAUACAUCAGACACAUCCAAAUUGAGGGAGUCUCCAGAACACCAGUACACUGUAAAACUGCCAGGUCACUGAAAAUGAAGUUCCAUUAAGAAGUUGUCACAGACCAGGGGUGCGUGGGUGGCUCAGUCAUUUAAAGCGUCCGACUCUUAUUUCGGCUCGGGACGUGAUCUCAUGGUUCAUGAGUUUGAGUCCCCAUCUGUCAGCGCAGAGCCUGCUUGGGAUUCUGUCUCUCUCUCUCUCUCAAAAACAAAUAAAUAAACUUCAAGAAAUUAAAAAAAAAAAAAAAAAAAGUUGUCACAGACCAGACUAAUUUCGGCAGUAUCCUGGAUUAGAUUCUGGCACAAAAAAGAGGGAAAAGUGGUAGA